GAUGAACGCUGGCGGCGUGCCUAAUACAUGCAAGUCGAGCGAACAGAUGAGGAGCUUGCUCCUCUGACGUUAGCGGCGGACGGGUGAGUAACACGUGGAUAACCUACCUAUAAGACUGGGGUAACUUCGGGAAACCGGAGCUAAUACCGGAUAAUAUAUUGAACCGCAUGGUUCAAUAGUGAAAUACGGUUUUUCUGUCACUUAUAGAUGGAUCCGCGCCGCAUUAGCUAGUUGGUAAGGUAACGGCUUACCAAGUCAACGAUGCGUAGCCGACCUGAGAGGGUGGACCGCCACACUGGAACUGAGACAGGGCCCAGACUCCUACGGGAGGCAGCAGUAGGGAAUCUUCCGCAAUGGGCGAAAGCUUGACGGAGCAACGCCGCGUGAGUGAUGAAGGUCUUCGGAUCGUAAAACUCUGUUAUUAGGGAAGAACAAAUGUGUAAGUAACUAUGCACGUCUUGACGGUACCUAAUCAGAAAGCCACGGCUAACUACGUG
rnacentral:rRNA from 1 species